rnacentral:rRNA from 1 species
CCUACGGGGGGCUGCAGUGGGGAAUAUUGGACAAUGGGGGGAACCCUGAUCCAGCCAUGCCGCGUGUGUGAAGAAGGCCCUCGGGUUGUAAAGCACUUUCAGUGAGGAAGAACGCCUGGUGGUUAAUACCCAUCAGGAAAGACAUCACUCACAGAAGAAGCACCGGCUAACUCCGUGCCAGCAGCCGCGGUAAUACGGAUGGUGCGAGCGUUAAUCGGAAUUACUGGGCGUAAAGCGCGCGUAGGUGGCUUGAUAAGCCGGUUGUGAAAGCCCCGGGCUCAACCUGGGAACGGCAUCCGGAACUGUCAAGCUAGAGUGCAGGAGAGGAAGGUAGAAUUCCCGGUGUAGCGGUGAAAUGCGUAGAGAUCGGGAGGAAUACCAGUGGCGAAGGCGGCCUUCUGGACUGACACUGACACUGAGGUGCGAAAGCGUGGGUAGCAAACAGGAUUAGAUACCCUUGUAGUC